rnacentral:rRNA from 1 species
UACAGAGGUGGCAAGCGUUGUUCGGAAUUACUGGGCGUAAAGGGCGCGUAGGCGGCCUUCUAAGUCAGACGUGAAAUCCCCCGGCUUAACCUGGGAACUGCGUCUGAUACUGGAGGGCUUGAGUGCGGGAGAGGGAUGUGGAAUUCCAGGUGUAGCGGUGAAAUGCGUAGAUAUCUGGAGGAACACCGGUGGCGAAGGCGGCAUCCUGGACCGACACUGACGCUGAGGCGCGAAGGCGUGGGGAGCGAACGGG